GACGAACGCUGGCGGCGUGCUUAAUACAUGCAAGUAGAACGAAGUUGCGAACGGGUGAGUAACGCGUAGGUAACUGCCUCGUAGCGGGGGAUAACUAUUGGAAACGAUAGCUAAUACCGCAUACUGUCAGAUGGACCUGCGUUGUAUUAGCUAGUUGGUGAGGUAAAGGCUCACCAAGGACACGAUACAUAGCCGACCUGUGAGGGUGAGCGGCCACACGGGGACUGAGACACGGCCCAGACUCCUACGGGAGGCAGCAGUAGGGAAUCUUCGGCAAUUGACGGAAGUCUGACCGAGCAACGCCGCGUGAGUGAAGAAGGUUUUCGGAUCGUAAAGCUCUGUUGUAAGAGAAGCGGUAACUUACCAGAAAGGGACGGCUAACUACGUGCCAGCAGCCGCGGUAAUUC
rnacentral:rRNA from 1 species